UGUUCUAUCAAGACAAUAACUGAGUGCUUCCGUCACAACACAGUUGCUCUCGCAGACAUCAAAACAACAGCCUUCUUUCAGAAAGUGUGAACACAUAUUAUGCUGGGUUCAGACUGUCUGUCAGACUAAGGAGCUGCGAUGCUGAACAGAUUCAAACUGAGCAUCCUUUUGCAGGGCCUGACUCUGUUCCUGUUAGGCCUGACCUGCAAAGCCUCUUCUCUGGGGCUGACAGUCCAUGUUGUGCCCCUGGACAGCGAUGAAGGGAGAACGGUGCGGGCUCAUUUCAUUGCCAUCGCUCCCAGUCCUUGUCCAGCUUUGUCUGGGCUGUGCGCUGAAGGCGAGGACUGUCUGGUCCACACUACCUCGUUACCUUUUAACGGCACCAAACCUGGUUCUGGCUGGUGUGUCCGCCAGUGGCAGAAAACUGUCCCCAGUAAUUACAAUGCCACCAUCAAUUUAGGGUCGAACACAGAAUUUUAUGUAUCUAUGAAUGCAGGACCAAAAAUUCGGGCAAACAGCGGGAAACUCAACCAACCUGCUUUUGUUGGUCUCCCUCCUCCACUAAGGGCUCGUGUGAACUGCCCCCACCACUUCCAUUUGUCGGUGAAAGACCUCGAUGGUGACAGGGUGCGAUGUCGCUUUGCCCGCUCCGACCAGGGAGAGUGUCUCAACUGCACUCAGCACUCUUUUAUAGAGCUGGAUGAGGAGAAAUGCAUGCUGUCAUUCACUGGAAAAGCACCAGCAGGACAGUAUUUCAUCUACCUGAUGGCAGAGGACCUGAUUCCUGUACCCAAAACCAUCCACACAACAGACAAUAACCCUCUCAGCUCUGUGCCUGUACACCUCUCUCUCACUGUGGAGGAGUCUGAUUCCAGCUGCAGUGAGGAACCUCUGGCAACAGGUGGGACCCCCAAAGAGGACUCCACACUGUUUGUCCUGCCAUACCAGCAGGUGAAAUUCGACGUCAACUUUAUGUCACAGCUGGAGAGUGUUUUAGAAGUAGCAGUGGUUGGUCCCCCUGAACUCUUCAGAGUUGGGUUCAAAACAGUCGGCCCGCUGGCACUGAUGACCAUUGCCUGGGUCCGCUCCGAAAACAAACUGGCCCGCCUUUUGCCCAUCUGCUUUGCUGUGAACACCAAGAGUUUGCAGUCAGAGCCCAGAUGUGUGUGGCUGUACCAAAGGGAAAUGAGAACACUACCUGCUGGAACAGAGCUUAAGUGUGAAAAGACAGAGAUGACUCUGGUGCUUCCUGUCACCUCCCUGUCCAACAUCAACCUGGCCGAACUGCAGCUCAACAGCCCCACCUGUCCUGUCACCUACAACAGCACAUACCUGACUGCACGCAUCUCUUUGAAUGGCUGCGGCACCAAGACUGUGCACUCUGGUUCCGAGCUGGUUUACACCAACACCUUGCAAAGUGUGCGUCCCUACACUAUGGUCAGCCGCAAGCCCUCCCUCGUCCUCCCCCUGGCCUGCCGUAUCCCUGGUGUCCAGGCCAAAGGGCCGCAGUACAAGAUCGGCAUGCCCACAGAGACUGAGACCUUCGGUAAUGUCCGGUAUUGGAUAGAACUUCACUUUCCAGGAGAGGGGCCCCUGUCAAAUUUCACGCGCAUCCCCAGGUUACGCAGCCUCCGAAUGUCACCAAUCCGAGUGCGCCGAGAAGCAGAAUCUUCAACGAUAGGCACUAACAGCACCUCCACCAGCACUUCUACCGGCAAUGCCAUCGGGUCCAAGGUCACCCAGCUGGAUCUCCAUGUGUUGUCCAACUGCAGCAUUGAUCGAGCCGAGAUGAUAGUGAGCAACUGUCUUGAGUCAGAGACAGAGGACUUUGCAGAAUCCAAACCUAUUCUGGAGCAAGGGUGUACAAGCUCCAACAGCACAUUAGAAGUUAUAACAUCAAAAAGCAAUUCCAAGGUUUACCGCCUUGAUUUAAGCAACGUGGAGAGCAAAGGAUCAACGAUGUAUAUCCGGUGCACAGUCAAUCUGUGCAUCUCCACCUUGCCCUCUCUGAAGUGCCCAGAUGUGUGUACCCGCUCCAUUAAUCAGAGAGCGGUGAUAGGCAGUGUGUUUACCAAAACCUACACUAUCACCUCAGGACCUGUUAGCCUUGUGGUCACAACUGCUGCACCAACCACAACAACAGUCGCCACUACUACUACACCUACUACAACAACAACAACAACAACAACAACAACUACUACUACCACUACCACAGCUGCACACACCACCACCCCCUCACAUGCUCCACAACAGGCCUCAGCCAUUGCAGGAGUGAUUUUGACAACUAUCUGCAUAUUUCUUCAAAAGAUCUUCCUUUACUGAACAUGCUACUGGACAAUGAUCCGUCGGACCAGGGAGCAUUACAUUUGCCAGUUUGCGACGUUUGAAGAUCUUCCCCCUCACUUUCUUUCAUCUCUCUAUGUAUUUGCUGUUUUAGCAAAUAAAUGUAAAUGUGUGUUUGAAAAUACUUAUAUAAUAUAAUAUAAUAUACUAUGAGAAUAUUUUUACUUAUACAAAAAAUAAAUCUUGAUGAGAGCACCAGACAUUUUUUUUUUAUUUUGCACUAUUUUGUGUACUAGGUAGAUUAAAUUGUUGGGCACAUACAAGCAGCAUUUUGUCUGCAUAAUAUAUUGGGGGGAAAUAAA
rnacentral:lncRNA from 15 species